UAGUCCCUAACAUAACUUACCUUGAAGA
rnacentral:piRNA from 1 species